rnacentral:rRNA from 1 species
UGGCAGUAUAAGUCGUAACAAGGUCUCCGUUGGUGAACCAGCGGAGGGAUCAUUACCGAGUUUACAACUCCCAAACCCCAAUGUGAACGUUACCAAACUGUUGCCUCGGCGGGAUUUCUGCCCCGGGCGCGUCGCAGCCCCGGACCAAGGCGCCCGCCGGAGGACCAAUUUACAAACUCUUUUGUAUAUCCCAUCGCGGAUUCUUUACAUUCUGAGCUUUCUCGGCGCUCCUAGCGAGCGUUUCGAAAAUGAAUCAAAACUUUCAACAACGGAUCUCUUGGUUCUGGCAUCGAUGAAGAACGCAGCGAAAUGCGAUAAGUAAUGUGAAUUGCAGAAUUCAGUGAAUCAUCGAAUCUUUGAACGCACAUUGCGCCCGCCAGUAUUCUGGCGGGCAUGCCUGUCCGAGCGUCAUUUCAACCCUCGAACCCCUCCGGGGGGUCGGCGUUGGGGAUCGGCACUUACCUGCCGGCCCCGAAAUACAGUGGCGGUCUCGCCGCAGCCUCUCCUGCGCAGUAGUUUGCACACUCGCACCGGGAGCGCGGCGCGUCCACGGCCGUAAAACAACCCAAACUUCUGAAAUGUUGACCUCGGAUCAGGUAGGAAUACCCGCUGAACUUAAGCAUAUCAAUAAGCGGAGGA